ensembl:lncRNA
CGGAAUGACCAUGACUCACAGCCAAAGUUCACCUUCACGUCUGCUUUGGUGGCCUAGGCGGUGUGAACGGAUGCUCUUUGAAUGCUGCAUCCCGCGGAGACAGCCAAACCCCGGCCAGGAUUUACUGGGUACAAGCAGCGGGAAAGGCAUGGUGUGAGACACGAGGUCCAUCCACAUCGCUACAACUGACCCAGUUUCAUUCCUUUUUAUAGCUGAGUAAUGAAUAUAUACACACACCACAUCUUUAUCCAUUCAUCUGUUGAUGCUGCAAUAAAGACAAUUGAGACUUGCUCCUAUCAAACUGUGUGAAGAACCUGGACUUACAAGAACAGCUGUUUCCCCCCAGAGAAGUUCCACUUUAUGGGGAAACUUCUGUAGGAUAUCACCACUCACCUAUCCAGAUCCAAGCCCAGGAGUCCUAUCGCCCAUUCGUAACAUGGGAUUUCUCAGUCGCUGGUCUGUGAUUGACUCACAAGCAAGGAGGAUCCUGUUGUUCGUCCAUUCUCCCUGUGAUAGUUUGCAUCUGAUUAACUCCAAGUUCCCACGCCAUCGCUCAUUUUAUGCUUGAUAAAAGCCAAGGAUUAAGGAUGUGGAGUGACUUCCUAAAGGAUGAAAAGCUGGAGGCGAGUCACUGUAUCCUCCUAAGCAAUGAAUGGUGAAACUGAAGUUCAGAUGCACAGGAACUGAGGGACAGAAGCAGGAUUCUAGCCCACACUGUUGGCUCUCCACGCCUCUUACUGUAUCUUGAUCUUCCUGCCGUCUCCUUUUUCUCAGAUGAGGAAACUGAGGUACCGAAGCUUUAAGUGGCUCCACGCGAGACAUGUUGCCCGAGAGUGGGCCCAGAUUUCCCGUCUCCUGCCCCUCAACAUCAAGUAGACUCCUGCCCAGCACACUCAGAAUUCGUAGGACUCCAGCUGCCUUGGCCAAACAUGUCCCUUUGGCCAAUGGUUGGCAAAAUGUCACUUUCAUUUAGGUGACGAAGCUCCUCACCAGAUACAAUGCUGAAAAUGUAGGCCACUUCCCCAUGUGACUGCGUUUCAUAACUCAGAGCUAAAGAUGUCUCUCGGCUCACUUGGCC